GGCACUCCUGGGUGCGGCACGGGACCGGAGGUGCUUUCGACCUCCGAGGCUGCGACCGCGUGUCCUGUAGCAGCAACCACUGCAGAUGGGGCGUUGCAGCUCUCGAGCUGCUGCGGCUGCAGCUGGACUUGGCAGGGGUGAGUCACAUACAUUCAGUUGAAAUCCAGGAGAGAGAAAAACAGCUUCCUUAGAGCAAGAGAGCCCUUCAGCAGUCUGUGUUUGAGUGUCAUCUUGUAACAGAGGCUCCUUUGAAACCUUUGGACUGAAAAUGGAACAUCAACCCUUCUGGGGCUCAGCUUGUUGGCCCACCCUGCCUAAUAAAUCAUUUAUUUACAA
rnacentral:lncRNA from 1 species